GGAGAAAAAGUUGCUUGAUGGUGUUGCUACUUAAAACUCUUGUUCCAUCAUUGUUUAGGAUAAAGACAAAGACAUCAAGCCAACUAAGGAAGAGCCAGUUACCAUUCCAGUUAUGGUGUGUUCCUUCUUAGCCUCUGAGAACAAAGGACAUGGUGCCACAGACCUAGAAAAGCAAAGACAAAACUUUUAAAACGGUUUCUUAAAUUCAUAUUGAAAAGAUUAUAUUCAUCAUGAUAAUUAUUGUCAAGAUAUAAUAUUUGCAGGUAAAGAAUGUUAUGAAUGAUCCCUCAACAUCAUAAAAGAUUUGAGAAUAUGUUAGAUAUUUUGUCUUCAUUCCUUGUAGCACAGUACAUCACUUGUUGUGGUAAGAGUUUGUGUCUACACUAUCUUAGUAGUGUAGCAUAGUGUCCUUUACUGUUAUUCAGUUGUAUUGCUUGAUGUGUUAGGAGUAUCU